GUCAGUGUCCGCAGCGCCCAGUCGACGCCUAAUGAGCGGCUCUGCUGGGCAGCGGCCGUCGGGUGGUGGGGACACAUGUUGGAGACAGAGACUGGAGCCCUGUGUCACAGAGCUGAACACCCACACCUGGCCCAGGAAUUGGAGAAGCUGAAGGAGAAUCUAAGGGAACGUGGAACCAUUGCAGACCCAGCCACUCCUCACACCAAGGAGGUACCAGCUGGACCACACGGCUGACCCGCAAAUAAGACAACUCCCACUUCUAGAAUUCUCUCCCCCAGAUUUCACCAAGGUGAAAUGGAAACCCAAAUUGAUUAAACCCAAAUGAACUGUUGGAUAUGACUAAAUCCCACAUGAACUCAGGCCACUGUGGCCAGCUGGACCGCUCGUGCCUGUCUGAAAGGGGCAGUGACCACCUGGCUCCAGUGACGGUGACAGUGUGGGGAGAUGGAUCCCCUAUAGCCAGACCUUCCAAAUUCCUCAAGACACGCUAGAAUCUGGAUUUUUACAUGACGUCUAGUCCUGAUGGCUGCUGGUUUUUGACCUUGGAUAUGGAAGCUUCCAGAAGCACUCUAAUCCACCUUCUAUUCAAUACCCAGAGCAAGGGUUCAAAAGUCAGAUCUGCUCUGUCAUCCCACACCAACGCCCAGCCUCACGAGGUCCGCGGCACCAUCAGGACAGAGAAGUCCCCCUGGAAGAGGCCUCCCCACCGAUGAGACCAGCAGUCCUGAAGCAGCACAGACAUGCUUCACGUGGCUCAAAUGGUUUUAAGUUUUU